GGCGGCGUGUCUAACACAUGCAAGUCGUACGAGAAAGUUGGCUUCGGCCGAUGAGUAAAGUGGCGCACGGGUGAGUAAUGCGUGGAUAAUCUGCCCUUUAGUUGGGAAUAACGUACCGAAAGGUGCGCUAAUACCUGAUAAUACUGCAUAACUACUGUUGUGUAGUCAAAGAAGGCCUCUGUUUACAAGCUUUUGCUGAAGGAUGAGUCCGCGUACCAUUAGCUGGUUGGUGGGGUAAUGGCCUACCAAGGCUACGAUGGUUAGCUGGUCUGAGAGGAUGAUCAGCCACACUGGAACUGAGACACGGUCCAGACUCCUACGGGAGGCAGCAGUGAGGAAUAUUGCGCAAUGGGGGCAACCCUGACGCAGCAACGCCGCGUGAGUGAGGAAGGUUUUCGGACCGUAAAGCUCUGUCGAGCGGGAAGAAAUGUAUCAUGGCUAAUAUCCAUGAUACUUGACGGUACCGCUAAAGGAAGCACCGGCUAACUCCGUG
rnacentral:rRNA from 1 species